UUUCCGUAGGUGAACCUGCGGAAGGAUCAUUAAACAUUUUUGGCCGUAACAAGCCUUAAACCUUAUCUAUACGUACCUUCACAUUCUCCUUCGGCGGGGCGACCCGCCGCUGGAACCACAUCAAAACCUUUUUGCAUCCAGCAUUACCUGUUCCGAUACCUAUAAUCGUUACAACUUUCAACAAUGGAUCUCUUGGCUCUGGCAUCGAUGAAGAACGCAGC
rnacentral:misc_RNA from 1 species